rnacentral:rRNA from 1 species
AUCUUCGGCAAUGGACGAAAGUCUGACCGAGCAACGCCGCGUGUAUGAAGAAGGCCUUCGGGUUGUAAAGUACUUUCAGCGAGGAGGAAGGCGUUAAGGUUAAUAACCUUGGCGAUUGACGUUACUCGCAGAAGAAGCACCGGCUAACUCCGUGCCAGCAGCCGCGGUAAUACGGAGGGUGCAAGCGUUAAUCGGAAUUACUGGGCGUAAAGCGCACGCAGGCGGUCUGUUAAGUCAGAUGUGAAAUCCCCGGGCUCAACCCGGGAACUGCAUUUGAAACUGGCAGGCUUGAGUCUUGUAGAGGGGGGUAGAAUUCCAGGUGUAGCGGUGAAAUGCGUAGAGAUCUGGAGGAAUACCGGUGGCGAAGGCGGCCCCCUGGACAAAGACUGACGCUCAGGUGCGAAAGCGUGGGGAGCAAAC